AUUGAACGCUGGCGGCAGGCCUAACACAUGCAAGUCGAACGAGUGGCGGACGGGUGAGUAAUGUCUGGGAAACUGCCCGAUGGAGGGGGAUAACUACUGGAAACGGUAGCUAAUACCGCAUACCAUCGGAUGUGCCCAGAUGGGAUUAGCGAGUGGGUGGGGUAAUGGCUCACCUAGGCGUCGAUCCCUCGCUGGUCGGAGAGGCUGACCGGCCACACUGGAACGGAGACAGGGUCCAGACUCCUACGGGAGGCAGCAGUGGGGAAUAUUGCACAAUGGGCGCAAGCCUGAUGCAGCCAUGCCGCGUGUGUGAAGAAGGCCUUCGGGUUGUAAAGUACGUUCAGCGGGGAGGCGUUACCCGCAGAAGAAGCACCGGCUAACUCCGUGCCAGCAGCCGCGGUAAUUC
rnacentral:rRNA from 1 species